rnacentral:rRNA from 1 species
GACGGACGCUGGCGGCGUGCUUAACACAUGCAAGUCGAACGGAAAGGCCCUGCUUUUGUGGGGUGCUCGAGUGGCGAACGGGUGAGUAACACGUGAGUAACCUGCCCUUGACUUUGGGAUAACUUCAGGAAACUGGGGCUAAUACCGGAUAGGAGCUCCUGCUGCAUGGUGGGGGUUGGAAAGUUUCGGCGGUUGGGGAUGGACUCGCGGCUUAUCAGCUUGUUGGUGGGGUAGUGGCUUACCAAGGCUUUGACGGGUAGCCGGCCUGAGAGGGUGACCGGCCACAUUGGGACUGAGAUACGGCCCAGACUCCUACGGGAGGCAGCAGUGGGGAAUAUUGCACAAUGGGCGGAAGCCUGAUGCAGCAACGCCGCGUGCGGGAUGACGGCCUUCGGGUUGUAAACCGCUUUCGCCUGUGACGAAGCGUGAGUGACGGUAAUGGGUAAAGAAGCACCGGCUAACAACGUG